GAUGAACGCUGGCGGCGUGCCUAAUACAUGCAAGUCGAGCGAACAGACGAGGAGCUUGCUCCUCUGACGUUAGCGGCGGACGGGUGAGUAACACGUGGAUAACCUACCUAUAAGACUGGGAUAACUUCGGGAAACCGGAGCUAAUACCGGAUAAUAUAUUGAACCGCAUGGUUCAAUAGUGAAAGACGGUUUUGCUGUCACUUAUAGAUGGAUCCGCGCCGCAGUAGCUAGUUGGUAAGGUAACGGCUUACCAAGGCGACGAUGCGUAGCCGACCUGAGAGGGUGAUCGGCCACACUGGAACUGAGGCACGGUCCAGACUCCUACGGGAGGCAGCAGUAGGGAAUCUUCCGCAAUGGGCGAAAGCCUGACGGAGCAACGCCGCGUGAGUGAUGAAGGUCUUCGGAUCGUAAAACUCUGUUAUUAGGGAAGAACAAAUGUGUAAGUAACUAUGCACGUCUUGACGGUACCUAAUCAGAAAGCCACGGCUAACUACGUG
rnacentral:rRNA from 1 species